rnacentral:rRNA from 1 species
AAUAUUGCACAAUGGAGGAAACUCUGAUGCAGCGACGCCGCGUGAACGAUGAAGGCUUUCGAGUCGUAAAGUUCUGUCCUAGGGGACGAUAAUGACGCUGCCCGAGGAGGAAUCCCCGGCUAACGACGUGCCAUGAGCCGCGGUAAUACGUAGGGGGCAAGCGUUGUCCGGAUUUAUUGGGCGUAAAGGGUUCGCAGGCGGCCUUUUAAGUCAGAUGUGAAAGACUACAGCUCAACUGUGGUAAGCAUUUGAAACUGAAAGGCUUGAGUUAAGGAGAGGAAAGUGGAAUUCCUAGUGUAGCGGUGAAAUGCGUAGAUAUUAGGAGGAAUACCAGUGGCGAAGGCGACUACCUGGACUGAUACUGACACUGAGGUGCGAAAGCGUGGGGAGCAAACAGG